AUUGAACGCUGGCGGCAUGCCUUACACAUGCAAGUCGAACGGCAGCACGGGGGCAACCCUGGUGGCGAGUGGCGAACGGGUGAGUAAUACAUCGGAACGUGUCCUGUAGUGGGGGAUAGCCCGGCGAAAGCCGGAUUAAUACCGCAUACGACCUGAGGGAGAAAGCGGGGGAUCUUCGGACCUCGCGCUAUAGGGGCGGCCGAUGGCAGAUUAGCUAGUUGGUGGGGUAAAGGCCUACCAAGGCGACGAUCUGUAGCUGGUCUGAGAGGACGACCAGCCACACUAGGACUGAGACACGGCCCAGACUCCUACGGGAGGCAGCAGUGGGGAAUUUUGGACAAUGGGGGCAACCCUGAUCCAGCAAUGCCGCGUGUGUGAAGAAGGCCUUCGGGUUGUAAAGCACUUUUGUCCGGAAAGAAAACCAUUGCCCUAAUAUGGUGGUGGGAUGACGGUACCGGAAGAAUAAGCACCGGCUAACUACGUGCCAGCCGCCGCAGUAAUAC
rnacentral:rRNA from 1 species